UGAAGUUAAAUCAGAAAUGGUUAUUUUUUUAUCCAGCUACCUAUAAUGCUCAGUCAAGAAAUGCCAGGUUAGAAAUGAUAAAAUAUCUUAUGUGACCCCUAGGGAUUUCCCUAUUACUGUCUCAUCAAGUGAUCUUAGUUUUGAAUACAAUAAAAUUUCCAGUCCAUUGAAGGAAAGGUGAUCCAGUAACUGGCCCAACUUGUGGUACAUCUCAUGGAGGGAGCAGGCACCAAGGUCUAACACUGAUGCUAUUACGUGUUUACCGAUGUGUGCCUAGCAUGACUGUUCUCUGAGAGGCCCUACCAGCAUCUGAUGGAGACAGACCCAGAUACUUACAUCCAACCAUUGGACUGAAGUUGGGGACCAAUAUGCUUGAAUUAGGGGAAGGAUUGAAUAAGUUGAAGGGGAGAGCAACCCCAUAGGAAGACCAGCAGUCUCAACUAACCCAGAUGUCUGGGAGCUCCCAGAGACUGAACCAUCAACCAGGCAGCAUACACUGAUCCUAGGCCCAGGGCACAUACAUAGCAGAGGUCUGCCUGGUCUGGCCUCAGUGGGAGAUGUGCCUAAUCCUCAAGAGACUUGAGACUCCAGGGAACAGAGAUGCCUAGUGGUGGGGAGCACCCUCUCAGAGGCAAGGGGUGGAAAACUGGAAUAAAGAACUGUGGGAGGAGGGACCAGAGGGGAGGCAAUGGCUGGAAUGUAAAUAAAUAAAAUAAUUUAAAAAAAAAAAGAAAAAAGAAAAAAAAAUCCAGUCUAGUAUUUUUAAUUAAUUUAAUUUAUGUAGGUAGAAAUUUUGGCAGCAUAUUUAUCUGUACACCAUAUCCCUGUGUAUCUUCCAUCCCUGUGGAGUCAGGAAGACAGUUACAAGAUAACAUGUGGGUGCUGGAAAUAAAAUCUAGGUCCUCUGAAAGAGCAGCCAGUGCUCUUAACUGCUGAGCCAUCUCUCCAUCCCAGAGUCUCUAUACAUACACUGUUAGAAAUCUCACCACCAAGACUGUAGUACUCCAAAGCUCAUUACACAUUCAUGAGAUUCCCUUGUCAUAUGCUCUGCACAGACAACCUGAUGAGGCCAUGUGGUCAGAGAAGCUUGGUCUCUGGCUAUAAGGGGAGUAAACCUUUUAGUGUGUGAAUGAAAACACACAGGACAAAGCCAACUCUCAUGGCUUGCAGAGAGAUGACUUGUGUUUUGCUUUAUCUGAUCAAAGCCCCCACCCUAUUCACACACACCCAACGGUUAACGCACAGACUAUGAAAAACAAACAGAGCAAGAAGCAGCUGCAGUUGUGAACUGAUUUGCACAUUACACAGUUAGGGACUGUUCCCCCAAUUCCAGCAGCGGGAAGGCAGGGGUCAUGAUUCUCAGGCAGGGUAAGAAUAAGUCUGAACCAUAUUACUUGGAUGUGGACAGUUCUGGAAAGUCAGAGAGUAGGGUUAUUUGAAAAAAUAAAAUAUCUCCAGAACACGGAAAUAUUUUUAACUUUGCUCAAAGUCGAGUUGUGGCUGCACAACAGAAUUACACAUCCUUAGGGAGAUAUCUUCCCUUCACUUGGAGUGUGAAAUGCUUGGCGAUAUCAACCAAAGCUUCACAAAUGUAUGAAGGCAGAGAAAACUGGAGACUCUGAGAAUUACAAAGCAAACCACGGAAUACCAUCCAACCAUAUCGCUCCCACCCAUGCCCCUCAAGCAACAGCUACAUGGCCCUUGCCAAGAGCCACAGUGCUGCGAAGGGUCAGCGACUCUGUUGCAGCCAAAACUAUUUUUAAUUUGUGCACUGGGUGGCUGAAUCAAAGAAAAACAAAAAAAGGCAUCUCGGGAGGCUAGGAAAAAAGGGGCAUAUGGAAGUAGGCAGGAUGUAGCAAGAUAGAGCUAGAGAAAACACAGUAUUUCAUUGGCUGCCUUAAAAUUGGUUGCUAAAAAAAUCCCUAGGAUGUCCAUGUUUGGCUUUGGAGGAAGGGAAGUCUUAAAUAAGGAUGGUAAUGACAAACACGUGCGACAUUCACUACAGAGUUUCCACCCCAGUUCUCACUGCUGUGUAAGUUAAAUUUUUUUCAUAGCAGGCAUCUUUAAUAACCAACCGUAUAAAUUUAUUAUUUCCAUAUGUUCUCCUUUUUUCUUUUUGCUCUAAAUUCCAAACAUUGACUUCAAGAGCUUUCAAAAGCUGAAUUAAAUCAGAAGAGACAGUGAGCAAUUUUGCACAAAUACCUUGAGAAUAAGAAACUUGCAUCAUAUAAAAAACGGUGUGAAUAACGCAUCUGGCCUCUAAUACAAACUUAUUUUGUACCAUUCAGUUCACCAAUCAGGCUUCAAAAUGUAGGUGAGUUUUUUUUUUUUUUCUUUACAUAGAUCUUUCUUGAGAGAGCAUCACAUACUCACAAGGAUUAUCCCAAUUGCAUUUUAAAGCUUUUCCACUGAGAAAUAUCUUGCUUUUAACAUGUCCCUUGAGGGAAAACCAGCUUAAGAGGUUUCAAAUAAAUAGCUUAUCAACAUCAAACACUAUUUAAUCAGAUCAAAGAUGUAGUGUGAUUUAAGCUGUAGAAAGGGUAAAUUACUUUGUAUUGGGUUUAACAUUGUUUAAUUAUACUGUACACAGUUUUGUGCCUUGGGUUCUUUAAGAAUAUGCUUAGCUAUUUUCCCAUUAUCCCUUCCAUAAGGCACUGACAAUUACCCACGGAUCACUCUUUUCUCCCUAGUUGUUCAUGUAUAACCAUUGGCACUUCCAGCCACUCUGGAUUCAUUUUAAUAUAUAAAACACAAGAAUGGGGAAUUACCACUGUCCCUGUUGACAUCUCACAUUUAGUUGAGAAUCAUCUGCUUGGGCUACUCUCUGGGUCUGUUUAAUAGAGUGUCUUCCCAGCCAUUUAGCAAAAAGUGUACUAAGGAGUCUUCUCAGAAAAUACCCUGUGUGAAAUGUAAGGUACAGUGUCCUUUAGAGACUCACCAGGGUUCAGAUACAAAAGCAAAGAUGGCUGUGUUCCAUGAGGACAAAAGACACUCUAUGGAUAUUCAACAAGCAGGAACACCAGAAAAUACACAGACCACUACAAGCUGGGGGGUCCUAGGAAGUUUCUUCUCUGAUAAGAGAAAUCAAUUUGUUAAACAGGGCUGGUAUAAGAGCAAUGCUGAAGGCUUCACCCUGACAAGAAUACAUAAAGGGUACUCCCAAACGUAACGACCGAGACAAACAAUGUUGCUACAAUAUUAUAAAGAUGAACAUUGUGCAAUGAUGACCAUGCUGUGUAGGGAAUGAUGAAGGUGUUAUGAGGCCCUGGAGCCAUAACAGGGCUCAGUGGAAGCCUGCACUGAUCGUGUCCUUAUUUGAAUGCUUGUAUCCUCAUAAAUUUUCUUAUGUGUUUUUAUUCUAAAUAGUGCUUAGGCUAAGUUGCUGAGUGAUUUGGCACACAAACGGGUGUACCCAAGGGACUGCCUCUCCUGUCUCACCCAAGCCCCAGGCUCAUUGGAGUCAGAAGAUGCAAAAAUAAUUUCUCUCGUUCCUUCCUAGCAGACACUUCCUUCCCACUAACACCUACGGGCAACCAUGCAUCAUAGCCCUGGACACCUAUAAGUAAAUAAUCCUGUUUCCAGGGGGAGAUGUGGCAUGUGUUCUCAUUUCAGACUUGAAAGAGAUGACUAAAGACAUUGGCAAUGCCUGACACCUGCUGAUGGCUGGCUCCAAAUGCUUCCAGCAGCCAUCCAAAGUUGAAAUGACAAUAAGAAGCAGGGGUCAAUUCCAUGUGGGUUCCUGAACAAAUUACAGAGCUUGAGACCUCAGUGGCACUGUUGAGAUUAGGAUCUAAGCACAGACAGCCUGCCUUUCAUCCAGUUAGGGGGCCAUCCCCAUGAUUGUGAUUGAGAUUGCUGUCAAAUCAAUUGCAUGUGGACCACAGCCAAUAAUAGCUUAGCAGCCAAAGGACAUUCAGGCCAAGGUUUUCUAAACCUUAGUGCAUUGAUGAAUUAAAAUGUUUUUUCGUAUUUCACUACUGUAUUGUUUGAGGCUAGGUAACAAAAAGAUAUACUAACUUUGGAGAAGAAUGCAAUUCUCUUGGUAUUAAUUAAUUUGAAAAUGCAACAAAUGAAAGGUCAAACAAUCUUUCAUAUAUAAAACCUUAAUUUCCUACUAAACGUUUGUGAUAAAAAUGCCAACAUCAACAAUGCUAAGAAAAUACCAAUUUAUAUCUCAUUUUACAAUACAGGAUUUUACUGUUAGUAGUUGAAUGGAUGACCAAACAAGUUUUUCAUCAUUUCCAACAACGUAUGGAUCACAGUGGACAGAGUGGGUCCUGCCCCUUGAAGUCCUAUUUAUCCACUGUGCGGUCAUCUCUAAGGCUGGGGAGUGUUAUGGCUUCAGUGGGAAGCACUGCAACAGACUUUCUAAAGCUCACACAGUUUAGAUGCUAGCGGUAAUGAUCUAAGUUGAUUUUCUGUUCAUGUUUGAUAUCACAUUCAGAGCAUUGGUUUCCUCCUGUUUACUCUGUACCUUGAAAUUAUGAGAAGCUCAUUUGCUUCAAACAGUUUCUGAAAAACAUCAAUUAGGAUAUUCCAUACAGGAAAUCCUUCUAUACAAAUCUUAGCUUUAAUGCUUCCUUCCAAAUCUAAUGUCACUUAUUGAAUUUCUAUUUUUUACUGGGUUUGACAGUGACAGAAAGCACUAACACCAAAGAGGAGACUCCUCUGUGGGAAAAGCAUUCACUCCACCUUGUGCAUGAUGCUAGAUUCUGAGUCUUAGAAGUGCCUUUCCAGCUGUCAAAGCAACAUCUCCACCCCCUGCUUUUACUACAUAUGCAUUGAGAAUUGUAUGGUUUCUAUCGACUGAGACGGAUUUAUUAUCAUUUUAGUUCAAUAAGGAUUUAAUUGCAUUGAUUUGUUUCUCAAAUAUAAACCUUUGAAAUGCCUCCCAUCCUGCAUUUACAGAAUGAAGCCAACUUGGGCAGGUGUAUCAUCCUUUGUACAGAUAACUAGGUUCAGUUGUGUAAGUGGGAGUAAGGCUUUCGGGCCUCUGCUGAUGGGAAAUUUGGGUCUGUGGUUUUACAUCUUGGGCUAACUUCUCUGGCUUUAAUAUCAAGACAACACAAUGCGCUUAUGGUGGUUAGAAGGUAUUCUGUCCCUUUCUGCUCUCCGGAAGACCUUAUAGAAUUGAUGCUUUUUCAUCACAAGUUUCUAGUAAAAUCCACAAUAUAAGUGAUGUGAGUUUGAAGUUACAUUAGUGGUGUGUGUGUGUGUGUGUGUGUGUGUGUGUGUGUGUGUGUGUGUGAUAUUAAAGUUGAACCCAGGACUUUACACAAGCUAGGAAAGUGCUGUAUAUAUGUACUUAUAGCCUAUGCCCUGUUUUAAUUUUUCACUUUUGGAGAAUUGGUGGUUUUUCUUACGUUUCUAAUGGAAUCCAUAAUGUAAGUCAUGUGAGUUUGAAGGUACAUCAGUGAUUCUUUUAUAGUAUUAAAGUUGAACCCAGGGUUUGACUCGUGCUAGGAAAGUGCCCUAUCAUAUAGUUUGUCCGUGCCCUGUUUUUCCUGUUCAUGCUGAGACAUAGUGUCCUGUAAAACAAAGUGCUCUUAGCAAAGGCCUUGAACUUGAGACCCUCCUGCUUCAACCUCUUAACAUCUUGUCAGAGAAUUCUGAGCUAUCAAUUUAAUUUUUCUUUACUAACUCUAGACUUAGUAUCACUAUGUUGUAUGGACGAACUCAAACCCUAAUUUGGUGAUUCCUUCUCCAUUCCCAAUUUUCAAAAUCAGGUCUCUUCUAUUUUCUCUCUUCGAUUUGUCGAGACACAAGACAGUUGUUUAUUUCUCUAGUUUUAUCCAAAAAGAAAGGUUUAAAGUCCCUAUUGCCUUUUUCCCUUUUAUUUUUUAUAGUUUACUCCCAUGUUUGAGGAGUGUGUUUGUGUUUGGUGAAUAGAUAGAUAAUAGAGAUAGAGUUAGAGAUAGAGAUAAAGAUAAAGAUAAACAGAGAUAGAGAAAGACAGACAGACAGACAGACAGACAGAGAUAGAGACAGAGAGAGAUAGAUGAAGAUCAGAGGACAGCCUCAGGUGUCAGUCCUUUCCUGCCACCUUGUUGGCUCCAGGGUGUCUCUUUACUCAAAAUAAUAUUGUCAUUGUCUUGUGGUCCAGACUGGUUGGCCUGAGAGCUUCUAGCGAUUCCCUUAUUUCUGCCACCCCUCCCAUCCUACGAGUGCUGGGAAUACAGCUUUGAGUUGCCAUGACCUGCCUCACGCAGGUUCUGGAUUUGAACUCAGGUCUUCACAUAAGUAUGACAAGGUCUUUGCCCACUGGAUCAGCUCUCCAGCCCCUCUUUAAUUCGCUUUUUAAAAAUGUCUUCAGUUUACAUAUGUUUAACUUGUCAUUUAAAACAUCUCCCUAGACAUGCCUAAAACCACUGAUAGAAGCAAUAAGUGCAGACGGUGUACACCAAGGAUUGGGAUGAAUAAUGUUCCUAGCACUAUUUGGAAGGGAAUAAUUCAGAUUUCCCCUUGAGAUUGUUCUGACCUGUUGGUGAUUUAGAACCACAUUGGUUAACUGCAAAAGUGAUUUUCACAUGCUACUCUGUAGUUGAGUUUUAGAUUGACUCUAAUAAGAUUGGCCCAAUCCACCUUUAGCAUGGCAAACCAAGUGAUCCUUUGAAAUAUCAAAAAUUAAUUACAUUAUUACAUGACCCAAAAUCAUCCACACAGUGUCAAUCUCUCCAAAAUAAAAACCAAAGUAACUAAUGAUCCCAGUAGACCACAAACUUGGGAGCCUAUCUCUGCUAACCUCUAGAAGCUGCUUCAGACGAGAACUGUGGAGUCUGGGGUCAGCCUGCAGCUGGAAACACACAGGCUGUGCCUCUCUCACCUCUUUUGCUUCUGUUGGUGUCCUGUGCUACUUAAAAAUCUUAACAGGAAUCCAGAAGGUAAGGACCCUGAGCUUUGUGGUCCUUGUGGUCAGGGUCCUGACCAGCAUCCAGAACAGGACAAAAAAAAAAAAAAAGGUGGCAAAAAACAAUGUGUCAAGUAUUGUAGAAAGAAGAAAUGAAAAGAGGUUUGCCCCAAGGUUUGUUAACUUAAACAAAUGGUAAAUGUUUAAGGAGCAGAAGCUGUCAAUCAUGCACUAUAUAUUUUUGCAUUUCACACAGUAAACAAAUAUGGGCAAAAAUUUCCUGCUGGUUAUAAAAAAUGGAUAAACAGAAGUAAAGAUCAAAUGGGGGCUGAGAGGCAAAGGGAUGCCAUCUGAUACACCUAGUUACCAUGGUGACAGCCUCAAGCCCCUCCCUUUAUGACAUCACUGUUUUGCAUUCUCUCUCAGUUCCACAAGAGAGCCCACUUAAUAUCAGCCUAUUAUUGCCUGUCUCCCUAAUAGAACAGAAAGUCGGUGCGGACCAGGAUUUAUCUCUACUUUGCUGACUGGGGUAACCCCAGUGGCUAAAACAAUUUCCAACACAUAACAUAAACUCACUAAAUAUUGAUUGAAUUAUUAAUGAAAUGGACCUCUCCUUUUAUCUUCAAACAAGCAGAAGCUUAAAUGCUCCCUGUGCAUUGAGUGGAACAAAAAUCAAAACUACCAACAAGAAUGAUAAUCGUUAAUCACUGUCUGAUGGCCACCAGGAGCAGUCGGCCAGGCCACCCUGGGCAUCGGGAUCUUGCUUCAUUGAUUUUACUUAAUAGGCUUUGUAGUCUAUCUAGCAUGAUGUCCAGAUGUACUUCCAAGGUGGGAACGGUCAAAUAUCACACAAAUCGUUGUUGAGCCUCAGACAGGAGGAAUCCAUCCAUUUGGCUCCUGAGCACACACUGCCAUUGUGAAUGUCAUCAUAAGCAGAACACCUGCUUUGGACUCUCCUUCCUGCCUGAUCCCCUCUCCAAGGAGAUCACACAGAUCUUCUCCUUCAACCAUUCUCCCCAUUCAUUCCUUUGUCUCAGCCCUCAAUUCCAAAAGGAACUACCUGGGAGCUCUCCAGCCAAGCCUGCCAGAGAAGCAAGUAGGCCCAUGAAACAGGGAAAAUCCAUCAUGACUGGGAGGUAUUGCAGCAGGUGGCUGGAGUACUAGAGAAGAUGAGAGAGUGCAUCUUCAAUGGCAACAGAAUGCAGAGAAAAUGGACCAGAAGUGGGGUGAGACUAAAACCACUCAAAACCUGCCUUGAGUGAUGUACCUUACCCAGCAGGCUCCUAUGACCUAAAGGCUCCAUAACUAUGACAAACAGCAUCAUCAGCUGGAGGCCAAGUUUUCAAACUCAAGCCUGUGGGGGCAUUUCUCAUUCAAACCAUCAUGAUACAACACUUGUAAGAUGUGAGAGACACAGCUAGAGCGAACAAGCUGAGCAAGAUGUGCAUCACAGGCCGACAAGAGAGGCCAGUAGAAAUGCAGAAUAUCCAGGUUCACUCUGUACCAAUCAGGAAGCAACGGGGUUCUGUCUUCCCAGUCCUACACAUACUGACACUCUUAUGCUUCUACUGCAUUAUGUGAUCAAAGAAACAGCAAAGAACUUGCUAGAAAUACAUAGAGCAUGGCUAAAGUAUCAUCAGCGAAUAGGCUCUGUCUCAAAGGACUAGGCAACAUAUCAGCAGAUUUGUCAAAAUGUGAAUAUUUGCCUAAUGGCAAUCUCUUGCUGUCAAGUUCAGAGAGAAAUCGAUAUUAGUUUAUAACGUGUUAAAUAAGAUAGCACUGGUUUCUGCAAGGUUGGCUAUGGGGAAUAUUCUUAAAGAUUGUUCUCUAGAUUUAUCUUAAACUAAAUAUAAUAAUUAAAGCCCAGGAAAGUCUAAAGCCAGAAUUAUUUUCUCAAACAUGAAACAAAUCACCCUCAUGUCAGUAAUCAAAUCCAGUGAGAUCUGAAUUUAUUUUUCUUUAGAAAAAAAUUAAAAGAAAACCAAUUUCUCUACUCAAUGAAAAGAAUUCUAGCUAUACAGGCAACAUUUUGAGUUGUAUAUAUAUUGAACUUAAAAAUAAAUAUUUAUUGACUACUUAAAGUAUGUAUAGCUCUAAGCUACAUUUUUUAAAGAGUGUAAAGAGAUGGAGAAAGGGCUUGGUGGGUAAGAAUAUCCACUGCCUUUGCAGAGUUCAGCUCCCAGAACUCUAUCAGGCAGCUCACAACCACCCACAACUCCAGCUCCAGGGAAUAGACUUCAUCUCAUGGACAUAGGAGGCAUCUUCAGUCACACUUACAAGACCAUACAUAAAGCAUACAUCAAAAAAAUAGAAACAAACUUGUUUUUAUAUUUACCAACUAUAAAAAUUUUAGCAACAAAUUUGGAAAAUGAAGCAAAAGUAGACUUUUAACAACUGAUAAAAUGGCACAUUUAAAAUCAUAAGAAAUCAUUCAUGCUAAAAAAUAAAUUGAAAAUGAGAAUUAACAAAAAAGUAAAAGCUUUCUAAGACACUGAAUAUGUGUGUGUAUGUGUGUGUGUAAACAAAGCAAUGUGAGUAGGUUUCUUGUAGAAAAUAGAUUUCAAAUAGUUUUAAAGUAAAUUUUAGAAAGCUAUUAUUUAUAGAAUUUGAAGAACAGAGAGGAAUUGCUUCAACCAGUAAAACACCGCAUACCAGUUUCUUAGCCUCCAUGUUAGUCACCUAGGGAUGCUUGAAAAUACUGCUUGCUUACAAUCAUAAGAUAAUCAUAACAUAAGAAAAGUUACUGACAAUCAAAACAGUGUUUCUAGAUUUGGGCAAGUGUCUACAGUGGUUGGGGGUGGGUAGAUAGAGUCACCUUUGCUUCACAUUCAGGAUCACCGCUAUCAUGCUCACAAGAUGGCUCUGCAGGUGGAAGUGCUUGCCACAAAGAUUAACCACUGAGUUCAAUCCCUGGGACCCAUAGAGUGGAAGGAGAGAAAUGACUCAUAAGAAGAGAAUACAUUGUCCUCUUCACUGCCUGUGCAACAUAGUACAUUCAUGCAUGAACAUAAAACUUCACACACACAGAUACACACGUGUACACACAUGCACACAUACACGCUAUUUUUUAACUUGUGUAUUUCUCAUCCAAGGAGUCCACAGAUCUUCAGAGAAAGUCAUGCUCAACACCUAAUUACCUAGGCAAGCUGACAUAAAAGACAUUAUGUAACAAAAUCCCUGGUAAUCUGCCAGGAUGAGAAGCAGUGAAAACCCCAAGUCUCUGUGUGUGUUCAGGUGAAUACCCCAGCCCCACCUUGUUCCUCUUCUUCCAUACCUGUGAAGGGACAGCCACUGUCUGCAUGCAAGCAUGCAGGAGAGCACCCCACUGCAGGUCUGUAACUGAAUGGCUGGCUGACCUUCAGAGACCUUACUACCUGCCAGUUUCUCCCUGUGGCAAAGCAUUCUGCUCUGUUUGGGGACUGAGAACUCAUUAGUGCACCUGGAUACAGAUUAAGACCUGCUCAGACACAGGGAGACGAAACAUUAAAGAAAAGACUCUCCAGCCCCGCCAUCUGAACAGUCACCCAACCACAGCCUCCAGGUGGAGAGAAGACUUCUAAACACUGUAGCCCCAGCAGGUGAGGUCCUCCAGAGUUCUGGUUCAUACUAAGCAUGCAAGGCACUCCCCUGCCCUGACAAGACAGCUUACCUAUGUUUUCUAAGGAGAUACCACUAAGAACAGUUUGUUGGAAAAGAACGCUUUGUUUUAACUUCAGUUUUCAUCAUGAGAAUUUUAAUAUGUUUUGAAAGUACAAGUUAAUGUCAACACUGGGAAUUUUGUUCACCAUCCCUUCACAGUUUUAUUUCAUUUUGGAUUUUUAAACCUUUUUACUGUUUUCAUACUUUCAUACAAGUAUGUAUUUUACAGUGAAACCCCCCUCUCCCACAUGCACACCUCCUAUCUUCCCUGUAAACAAAACAAAACAAAACAAAACACAUAAACAUAUCCCUACACUUAGGAUAAUCAGAAGCAAGAAGUUACGGGAUGUUAUGAGUAGGAAAAUCGAAUAAGGUGAAUAGCAACAAUAUAUACUCCUGCAAGCCACCAAGAAGGGAUUAAAAAUACAGAAUAUAUAGCUAAUCAUUUUAUUUGAUGACACAUAAAACUUAAAGAGCUGGGCCCGUUCUUUUAUUCACUUUUGAAAGCAUUUUGUUCCAUUUUCCUGCCGCUGUUUUAUUGCCUGAUUUCUCUGAGUUUUCAGUACUCAAUCUCCCAGAUCCCUUUUUCCCAUUUGUCUUUAUCUUGUAAAGCAUCCAAACUCCUCUUUUCACUGAUUAUAAAUAAGUAAAUAAAACAAUCUGUAACUACGGCAGAGACAUAUGCACUGCCUCCAUCUUCACUACGGAGCACUCCGCACCUCUCCACUAUAUUUAUUCUUGAGUUAUUGAGAAUCACAACUUCCAUCUGGACUCCUUUUUUUUUUUUUUUGUAAGGCGUUUCUCAUUUCAUUCAGUGAUAAUUUGAAAAAGUAUGUACACUUCAUGACCAUAAAUAAAAUAACUUGCCACACUACUCCAAAAAUUAUUCUCAAUUUUCAUGCAUACAAAGCUAGUUAUUUCUGUCCAAAAGGAAUGGAAUCAGAUGCUGCACAAUGGGAAUGUGGAGAUAAAAUAACAUAUCUAGCAUAUGCACUGUGCUACUGAUUAUCUUGAAAGGCCCCUGGGUUAAAUAAAACUUCUUAAUUGGUUACCACUUAGCUCAACCAUGAGACUAAAACAUGAAAUGAGACAAACAUGAAGUGAGAUUUGCACAUGAGCUCUAUACACUGUCUCUACGGCAGUAGCCCCUGCUUGCAAACACUACAAUAGCUUAGCUUCUCAGCCCAGUCUUGAACUGCCUUAACUAGACACAAAGGUUGGACCCUAGCUUCACAUUCAAGUAUCCUUUACAAAGUGCCCAACCAGCAUAUUGUUCAGCUCUCUCACAUCACCCAGAGUGACAGUCUGCUACGCUCUCCGGUCGAGUCAACUGGACAAGCCGAAAGGCUUAAAAGUCACUCAUGAGGCAAAAGAGUUUCAAGGAAGCUCUCCUCCUGGAGUCUAGUGUUCUCUACCUAUACAUUAAGUUUUCAUUCCCGAGUUCCAUUACCGCACUAGUCUAGAGUAUGGAUCCACGUGCUCUCUUUCAGUAUUUUCCUAUUAUAAGUGCUCUGACAUGGCUAAAGCCUUCCGCCAGUGUUCCAACAGUCCAAGGGCAUCCUUGACCAAGAUCAAGGGUUUAGAAUUCAGCAAGAUUGUAAAAGCUAAGUCACUCCCUUACACAGGAAUUUACCAUCACUUAGGAAGAAGGAAGUUUCAGACCAAAGGAGAAACCAAAAUAGAUACUAUAGCAGAGUUACACCCAUACACACGUACUUACUAUGGCCUAAGGGGAAGGUGGACUAUACAAGAGACUAAAAUAGGAACUAUGGCAAGGACGCGAAGCCCUUGACCCUGGCUUCUAAGAUUAGUGAAUUUUAGGUGGAGCCCUUGUUGAUCCCAGAUGUUAUCAAUGUAUUCUAUCCUGGGUGGUUCCCGUUAGACCUUUUGUGUUUGCAUUCCUCUGUUUUAUGUAAGAUUCCGGUUACCUCAAUUGUACCUUGUGAAUAUGUCACCCAACUUCCUUAUUGUCCUCUGCAUAAAAAGUCUGAUGCUCGAGUUGUAAAAUGACAUUCAGAUUCCACACAAACUCCCCUGCGUGUGUGUCUGUCUGUCAUUCAUCCACGCUUUGCCCACCCGCGUAGAGAGACCCCGUUCCACGCAGACACAGGGACCCAGAAGGUCUGCAGCAACAGUCAAGAGCCCUCUCCACCAAGUAUAAACCCUGAUGUGAACAUGGUCCAAUGCAAGGUCAAUGAAUCAAGCUGCACUUCUGAUUUUUAUCAAGGAAGAUGUGGAAGAAUAAGGAAACAAGAAACUUCCAUCCACUGAAGAGAAAACUCAUGCUAUGUAUGCCAUCAUUAUCAAAAAAGGUAGCCAUUUGUAACUUAUAGGAGGGUGACCUGACUCUGGCUAUAGCUAAAUAGCAAGAGGUUGCUGAUAUGAACAUGGUCUUUGCUAAGUGCAGGUAAGCUGGCCACUUCCUUGGAAGAUCUUGUCUCAAAGAAGGUAAUGUCAUAUUCAUGUAAAUCCCAGGCAGGAACAAAACAAACCAUGGAUUCCAGGUGCUCCUUCCCUGUCCUAACCCUUUUCCUGAUUGCUUUACUUAAGCUUAUAGAAAAAUUCCAACCUAAUAAGACGCUAUUCACCAUUGUCUAGAUUAUCCUGUUUAAGUAUUCAUAAAGACGCUUUUUCAAUGGUUAUUUUUUAUUGACAUAAUAUCAUUUAGAAUUUCUGAUCAGGAAGCCUAUAAAGAAAAUUAAAGACAAAUGCCUAUAACUUUUGAUUCAUAUUUCUUUAAUUCAUAUCUUUUUCUGUAUCAAACACACCCAGUAUUUUUUUUUCUUCUAGAAAUAAAGGAAGUUGUUAUAACAGACCAUCUAUAUAUCCAGCCAUCAGCAGUAGCUACUGUUAAAUCUCUGUGUCAUUACAGAUAAUCCUCCAUAUGAAAUGCCUGCAAAAUAAAUGUGGGCACAAAUUUAAACAAAAUCUCCAUUCUCAGAUAAGGGAUCUAAACCACACUUUCUGGUACAGGGUUCUUAGGAAUCAAGAAGACUUUGGGGGAAAUGGAGUUUUCUUCUUGAAGAUUUCCAAGGAUGUUCUGACAAUACAGAACUGGAAUUAACCAGAUAUAUACCAUCUAUGGGGAAAAUGCACACCUCUACACAAGAUACUCAUACAGGCAAACUAGAAAUGAGAAAUUGAGAAUUGGAGAGAGAACAACAAUGCAACUGUCUACUCAAAGCAUGCUUGGGGUUGGUCUGGUACUGUUAUAUAUUCAAAUGUUAUUCAAAUGUAUUCAAAUACUUACCCCCAAGUUCUAGU